rnacentral:rRNA from 1 species
AACGAACGCUGGCGGCAGGCCUAAUACAUGCAAGUCGAGCGGAACUUUCGGGGUCAGCGGCGGACGGGUGAGUAACGCGUGGGAAUAUGCCCUUCUCUACGGAAUAGUCCUGGGAAACUGGGGGUAAUACCGUAUACGCCCUUUGGGGGAAAGAUUUAUCGGGGAAGGAUUAGCCCGCGUUGGAUUAGGUAGUUGGUGGGGUAAUGGCCUACCAAGCCGACGAUCCAUAGCUGGUUUGAGAGGAUGAUCAGCCACACUGGGACUGAGACACGGCCCAGACUCCUACGGGAAGCAGCAGUGGGGAAUCUUAGACAAUGGGGGCAACCCUGAUCUAGCCAUGCCGCGUGAGUGAUGAAGGCCUUAGGGUUGUAAAGCUCUUUCAGCUGGGAAGAUAAUGACAGUACCAGCAGAAGAAGCCCCGGCUAACUCCGUG